UCGAGAAUCUUCCGCAAUGGACGAAAGUCUGACGGAGCGACGCCGCGUGUGGGAUGAAGGCCUUCGGGUUGUAAACCACUGUCGGGGGGAGCAAAUUUGAGCGAUCCCCGGAGGAAGCACAGGCUAAAUUCGUGCCAGCAGCCGCGGUAAUACGAAUUGUGCGAACGUUAUUCGGAAUCACUGGGCUUAAAGGGUACGUAGGCGGCCAUGAAGGUCUGAUGUGAAAUCCCACGGCUCAACCGUGGAAUUGCGUUGGAAACCACAUGGCUUGAGUAGGACAGAGGUGAGCGGAACUGAUGGUGGAGCGGUGAAAUGCGUUGAUAUCAUCAGGAACACCGGUGGCGAAAGCGGCUCACUGGGUCCUAACUGACGCUGAGACGCGAAAGCGUGGGGAGCAAACAGGAUUAGAUACCCAAGUAGUCCCUGAGCGGGCUGGCAAGGCGCAU
rnacentral:rRNA from 1 species